ensembl:lncRNA
GAUUGUUUUAACUUUAUAUGCUUUGUUCAACGUGAAUUGAAAGUGAUUGUGGAUGAUGUGGUUCACAGAGUACAAUGAGUCUGUGUAGCUGCUUUGGAUUCUUGCUGUUUGUCCUCCACAAUCUCCCAGGCACCACAGAGGAUUUCUUCCUAGAUUCGUCUCAUUCUGCUUUUCCCAUCACCUUCGGUUUGGGAGUCAUCUUCAUGUCUGUUAUUUUAGUCGUUUUUGCUGCAUAUAAAUGGAAACAAAACAAAAACAGAAACAAAGAGAGGGAGCACCUUAAGACAACUGAGAAGAAUUCAAUCAAGGCUUUCCAUACAGGACAAAGAGACAAUGAGACCAAGAAUUUGGAGGAUGAAAUUGAUGAAAUUCAGCCUCUCCGAGACCAGAAUCAGAGCAUGGAGAACGAGCUGCAGACCUUGAAGAGAGAGCUGGAGACCAACAAAAAACAGUUGGAGGAUAAAAUAGAUGAAAUGCAGCAUCUCCGAGACCAGAAUCAGAGCAUGGAGAAUGAGCUGCAGACCUUGACGAGAGAGCUGGAGACCAACAAAAAACAGCUGGAGAAACCUAAGAGUAUAAGAGACACCAUUGAAGGAAUGCGGGACUCUUUUUCACAACUGAAGUUCCACCUUGCCAAUCUCAGGAUGCGGAAAUUGGAGGAUGAAGUAGAUGAAAUUCAACAUCUCCGAGACCAGAAUCAGGGCAUGGAGAACAAGCUGCAGACCCCGAGGAGAGAGCUGGUGCAUGACAAAAAACAGUUGGAGGAUGAAAUCGAUGAAAUUCAGCAUCUCCGAGACCAGAAUCAGAGCAUGGGGAACGAGCUGCAGACCUUGAAGAGAGAGCUGGAGACCAACAAAAAACAGUCAGCUGACAAGGCCAGGGGGCAGACCUUUGAGGAGCUUAAGAACACCCAGUUUGAACUGGAGAAAAAGACUGCGGAGAUCAGGAACCUGCGGAGAGAGUUUGAUGACAGACUCAGGGAAGAGAAUCAGAGUAAAGAGAAAUGCCUGCAGACCCUGAAGGAGGAGCUGGAGAGCAAGAACAAGGAGCUUUGUGAGUCCAAGCUUCAGUUCGAAUCUCUCAUGAAGAAGAAUCAGGAGUUUGAGAGAAAGCUGACUGAACUUAGAGAGCUGCACAAGCAGGUGUUAAAGAAGAUGGUCGAGGAUGAGCAGCAGAGGACGGAGGAAGUACAAAAGGAAGUGGAGACCCUGAAGAUGGAGCUGGAGAAGAAGAAGGACGAGAAAAGCCAAGCAGGGGAGUCAGAUGUUCAGAAAUCUCUGAUAGUAUGUGACAGCUCUGGAGAAGAACAUUUAGUGUCAGAGGAACAGAGUAAAGCAGCGGAGAUGGCUGAAGAAUUACCAAAUGUUGCAAAAGAAGUUGUGAACUGACAAUCUGUACAACAAGCAGAAUCCAGUGAUUUGUUUGAUUUGGAGCUAUUAUGUACAUAUUCAGUGCAAAAGAAGUAGUGUGAUGCAGUUUGGGAAGUUUAAAUUGUUUGAUGACUGACUGCACUAAAAGUACAUAAACAAUUCUGAAAAAAAAAUAAAAACAUACUUGUAUUUAUACCUUAAACAGCCUUUUAAUAUAUAUGACUAUAAUAUAAUAUUCAUCACUGCUAUUUUUAAUUGCCUUACUCUAUGUUGUUACUGUAACAGUUUAAUAAAAUAAUUACUUCUGUG